AAGCAGCGCUCAUUUUCGCAAGGCAAACGAACCUUAUCGUGAUCCUUGUGCUACACCCAAUUGAUCUUGGAAUAUACACCAACAGCUGGGUUUUGUUGGCCGGAUUUGAAUUUACCAUUGUUAUUGGGAACAUUUCCCAGUGCUGGUUUUCAACAGUGUUGCAACCAGUAGAGACGAGCACUAUGGUGCUUCAGUUUAAGAUGUCAAUCCACACUGUACUGUCCUUGGUCAUCUGCUACUAUGUACUCACCGGUACUACAGUGAUGAGUUGUCCAGCAUCAUGUACGUGUGUUGGUGCACCUGUUUACCGUGUAGAUUGCUCCGCUCGCGGAUUAACAAUGGUGCC